CUCACUUCAGAUUAAGCUACGGCGGUAAAGAUGGGCAUGCGUAACAUACUAGUGGUGAGGUAAGGCUCACAAGGCGACGAUGUUUAGGGGUCCUGAGAGGGUUAUCCCCCACACUGGUACUGAGACACGGACCAGACUCCUACGGGAGGCAGCAGUGAGGAAUAUUGGUCAAUGGGCGCAAGCCUGAACCAGCCAUCCCGCGUGCAGGAAGACGGCCCUAUGGGUUGUAAACUGCUUUUCUGAGGGAAGAAUAACGCUGAUUCGUUCAGUGGACGACGGUACCUCAGGAAUAAGCAUCGGCUAACUCCGUGCCAGCAGCCGCGGUAAUACGGAGGAUGCAAGCGUUAUCCGGAUUCAUUGGGUUUAAAGGGUGCGUAGGCGGACUGGUAAGUCAGUGGUGAAAUCCUGCAGCUUAACUGUGGAAUUGCCAUUGAAACUGUCAGUCUUGAGUCAGGUUGAGGUAGGCGGAAUGUGUAAUGUAGCGGUGAAAUGCAUAGAUAUUACACAGAACACCGAUUGCGUAGGCAGCUUACUGGACCUGCACUGACGCUGAGGCACGAAAGCGUGGGGAUCAAACAGGAUUAGAUACCCUGGUAGUCCACGCCGUAAACUAUGAUUACUCGUUGUUGGCAAUACAUCGUCAGCGACCAAGCGAAAGCGAUAAGUAAUCCACCUGGGGAGUACGCUCGCAAGAGUGAAACUCAAAGGAAUUGACGGGGGCCCGCACAAGCGGUGGAACAUGUGGUUUAAUUCGAUGAUACGCGAGGAACCUUACCUGGGCUUAAAUGUAGACUGCAUAGCGUGGAAACAUGCUUUUCUUUUAGACUGUUUACAAGGUGCUGCAUGGUUGUCGUCAGCUCGUGCCGUGAGGUGUCGGGUUAAGUCCCAUAACGAGCGCAACCCUUAUCGUUAGUUGCCAUCGGGUAAAGCCGGGGACUCUAGCGAAACUGCCACCGUAAGGUGAGAGGAAGGUGGGGAUGACGUCAAAUCAGCACGGCCCUUAUGUCCAGGGCUACACACGUGUUACAAUGGUUAGAACAAAGGGCAGCUACCUGGUGACAGGAUGCUAAUCUCUAAAUCUGGCCGAAGUUCGGAUCGGAGUCUGCAACUCGAUUCCGUGAAGCUGGAAUCGCUAGUAAUCGCGCAUCAGCCGUGGCGCGGUGAAUA
rnacentral:rRNA from 1 species